rnacentral:lncRNA from 1 species
GGAAGAGAAAUGCCCUCCAUGCUUCUGGCUUGGGAGUUGAGAGGACCAGGCCUGGAGCCACUGGUGACCAUCUUGCCACUAUGAGGGGAGUGCCUGCUGUGAAGUGAAUCACUGUAGAGCAACGCAGGGCCAGGGGUCCAGACAGCUGCGCUGCUGACACUUCAGCUGUGCCUGAAGCUUGUGUGGACUUUUUAAGUUAUGUGAACCAAUACAUUCUCUUUUAACU